rnacentral:misc_RNA from 1 species
AAGCAGCCGAGGAGGGAGCUCGCGGCUGAGGUUGAAGAUGUCAAGCUGCUGUCGGCCGGCAGCAGGGGGAGGGCGGUCCGGCCAUGGAGGGAAGGAGUCGUGCUCCCUGUUGCUGGCGUGGGGAAUCCAGGGAAGAAGAUGGCGUCUGCUGCUGCGCGAUGGCGAGGCCGAGCUGGGAGAUGCAGCGUGCGCGAGGAAGAAGGGGCAGGGGCUGGGGCCACCGCGCCCUGGCUGGCCGAGGGGAGGAGCAGGCCUGGGCGCCAUGGGAGGAAGGGAGCCGAGCUCCCUGCGCGCUGGCUG